UACGGAGGGUGCGAGCGUUAUCCGGAAUUACUGGGUUUAAAGGGUGCGUAGGCGGUGAUAUAAGUCAGUGGUGAAAGGCCGUAGCUUAACUAUGGGACUGCCAUUGAUACUGUAUGACUUGAAUCAGGAUGAGGUUGGCGGAAUGUGGCAUGUAGCGGUGAAAUGCUUAGAUAUGCCAUAGAACACCGAUUGCGAAGGCAGCUGACUGGACCUAGAUUGACGCUGAGGCACGAAAGCGUGGGGAGCGAAC
rnacentral:rRNA from 1 species